AUUGAACGCUGGCGGCAUGCCUUACACAUGCAAGUCGAACGGUAACAGGUCUUCGGAUGCUGACGAGUGGCGAACGGGUGAGUAAUACAUCGGAACGUGCCCGAUCGUGGGGGAUAACGAAGCGAAAGCUUUGCUAAUACCGCAUAAGAUCUACGGAUGAAAGCAGGGGACCGCAAGGCCUUGCGCGAACGGAGCGGCCGAUGGCAGAUUAGGUAGUUGGUGGGAUAAAAGCUUACCAAGCCGACGAUCUGUAGCUGGUCUGAGAGGACGAGCAGCCAGACUGGGACUGAGACACGGCCCAGACUCCUACGGGAGGCAGCAGUGGGGAAUUUUGGACAAUGGGCGAAAGCCUGAUCCAGCCAUGCCGCGUGCAGGAUGAAGGCCUUCGGGUUGUAAACUGCUUUUGUACGGAACGAAAAGACUCUUUCUAAUAAAGAGGGUCCAUGACGGUACCGUAAGAAUAAGCACCGGCUAACUACGUGCCAGCCGCCGCGGUAA
rnacentral:rRNA from 1 species